GAUGAACGCUGGCGGCGUGCCUAAUACAUGCAAGUCGAACGCACAGCGAAAGGUGCUUGCACCUUUCAAGUGAGUGGCGAACGGGUGAGUAACACGUGGAUAACCUACCUCAAGGUUGGGGAUAACAUUUGGAAACAGAUGCUAAUACCGAAUAAAACUUAGUAUCGCAUGAUACCAGGUUAAAAGGCGCUACGGCGUCACCUAGAGAUGGAUCCGCGGUGCAUUAGUUAGUUGGUGGGGUAAAGGCUUACCAAGACAAUGAUGCAUAGCCGAGUUGAGAGACUGAUCGGCCACAUUGGGACUGAGACACGGCCCAAACUCCUACGGGAGGCUGCAGUAGGGAAUCUUCCACAAUGGGCGAAAGCCUGAUGGAGCAACGCCGCGUGUGUGAUGAAGGCUUUCGGGUCGUAAAGCACUGUUGUAUGGGAAGAACAGCUAGAGUAGGGAAUGACUUUAGUUUGACGGUACCAUACCAGAAAGGGACGGCUAAAUACGUGCCAGCAGCCGCGGUAAUACGUAUGUCCCGAGCGUUAUCCGGAUUUAUUGGGCGUAAAGCGAGCGCAGACGGUUAAUUAAGUCUGAUGUGAAAGCCCGGAGCUCAACUCCGGAAAGGCAUUGGAAACUGGUUAACAUGAGUGCAGUAGAGGUAAGUGGAACUCCAUGUGUAGCGGUGGAAUGCGUAGAUAUAUGGAAGAACACCAGCGGCGAAGGCGGCUUACUGGACUGUAACUGACGUUGAGGCUCGAAAGUGUGGGUAGCAAACAGGAUUAGAUACCCUGGUAGUCCAUACCGUAAACGAUGAACACUAGG
rnacentral:rRNA from 1 species